GGCUGGUCCGCAAGUAGCGAGUUAUCUCAACAGACUGUUCAGUUAGUUACAAAUUGAACUCCUUGUUCUAUUCUUUCUCAUUUUCACUACUGUAAUUGACUAGUCUUUA
rnacentral:Y_RNA from 1 species